rnacentral:rRNA from 1 species
GUGCCAGCAGCCGCGGUAAUACGUAGAGGGCAAGCGUUGUCCGGAUUUAUUGGGCGUAAAGCGAGCGCAGGCGGUUCUUUAAGUCUGAUGUGAAAGCCCCUGGCUCAACCAGGGAGGGUCAUUGGAAACUGGAGAACUUGAGUGCAGAAGAGGAAAGUGGAAUUCCAUGUGUAGCGGUGAAAUGCGUAGAUAUAUGGAGGAACACCAGUGGCGAAGGCGACUUUCUGGUCUGUAACUGACGCUGAGGCUCGAAAGCAUGGGGAGCAAACAGGAUUAGAAACCCCCGUAGUCC